CCGGCGCACGGGUGAGUAACGCGUAUCCAACCUGCCCACCACUUGGGGAUAACCUUGCGAAGGUAAGACUAAUACCCAAUGAUAUCUCUAGAAGACAUCUGAAAGAGAUUAAAGAUUCAUCGGUGAUGGAUGGGGAUGCGUCUGAUUAGCUUGUUGGCGGGGUAACGGCCCACCAAGGCAACGAUCAGUAGGGGUUCUGAGAGGAAGGUCCCCCACAUUGGAACUGAGACACGGUCCAA
rnacentral:rRNA from 1 species